UACGUAGGUGGCAAGCGUUGUCCGGAAUUACUGGGCGUAAAGCGCGCGUAGGCGGACCGGCAAGUCGGGGGUGAAAGCCCGAGGCUCAACCUCGGAACUGCCUUCGAUACUGCGGGUCUCGAGUCCGGGAGAGGUGAGUGGAAUUCCUAGUGUAGAGGUGAAAUUCGUAGAUAUUAGGAAGAACACCAGUGGCGAAGGCGGCUCACUGGCCCGGUACUGACGCUGAGGCGCGAAAGCGUGGGGAGCAAACAGG
rnacentral:rRNA from 1 species